rnacentral:rRNA from 1 species
CCUACGGGCGGCUGCAGUGAGGAAUAUUGGUCAAUGGACGAGAGUCUGAACCAGCCAAGAAGCGUGAAGGAUGACUGCCCUAUGGGUUGUAAACUUCUUUUAUAUGGGAAUAAAAUGUUCCACGUGUGGGAUUUUGUAUGUACCAUAUGAAUAAGGAUCGGCUAACUCCGUGCCAGCAGCCGCGGUAAUACGGAGGAUCCGAGCGUUAUCCGGAUUUAUUGGGUUUAAAGGGAGCGUAGGUGGAUUGUUAAGUCAGUUGUGAAAGUUUGCGGCUCAACCGUAAAAUUGCAGUUGAAACUGGCAGUCUUGAGUACAGUAGAGGUGGGCGGAAUUCGUGGUGUAGCGGUGAAAUGCUUAGAUAUCACGAAGAACUCCGAUUGCGAAGGCAGUUCACUGGACUGCAACUGACACUGAGGCUCGAAAGUGUGGGUAUCAAACAGGAUUAGAUACCCUUGUAGUC